UACGGAGGGUGCAAGCGUUGUUCGGAAUUAUUGGGCGUAAAGGGCAGGUAGGUUGUCUAGUAAGUCUAGUGUGAAAUCCCCGAGCUUAACUUGGGAACUGCGCUGGAUACUGCUGGACUAGAGUGCUAGAGGGGUUCGUGGAAUUCCCGGUGUAGCGGUGAAAUGCGUAGAUAUCGGGAGGAAUACCGGUGGCGAAGGCGGCAUCCUGGACCAAUAUUGACGCUGAGGAGCGAAGGCCAGGGGAGCAAACGGG
rnacentral:rRNA from 1 species